UGUUGUAGUGGUCGAGGACUUCGGUGACGGUGCCGAUCUGGCCGGCAUGCAUGUAAGGCGGCCGCUGUGCCACGCCACGCAGCGACGGC
rnacentral:tRNA from 1 species